UACGGAGGGGGCUAGCGUUGUUCGGAAUUACUGGGCGUAAAGCGCACGUAGGCGGCUUUGUAAGUUAGAGGUGAAAGCCUGGGGCUCAACUCCAGAAUUGCCUUUAAGACUGCAUCGCUUGAACGUCGGAGAGGUGAGUGGAAUUCCGAGUGUAGAGGUGAAAUUCGUAGAUAUUCGGAAGAACACCAGCGGCGAAGGCGGCUCACUGGACGACUGUUGACGCUGAGGUGCGAAAGCGUGGGGAGCAAACAGG
rnacentral:rRNA from 1 species